rnacentral:rRNA from 1 species
AGAACGAACGCUGGCGGCAGGCUUAACACAUGCAAGUCGAACGCGUGUAGCAAUACACGAGUGGCGCACGGGUGAGUAACGCGUGGAUAUCUGCCUUUUGGUUCGGAAUAACCCCGGGAAACUGGGGCUAAUACCGGAUGGUUCCUACGGGAUAAAGAUUUAUCGCCAAAAGAUGAGUCCGCGUACGAUUAGCUAGUUGGUGAGGUAAUGGCUCACCAAGGCGACGAUCGUUAGCUGGUCUGAGAGGACGAUCAGCCACACUGGGACUGAGACACGGCCCAGACUCCUACGGGAGGCAGCAGUGGGGAAUAUUGGACAAUGGGGGCAACCCUGAUCCAGCCAUGCCGCGUGAGUGAUGAAGGCCUUCGGGUUGUAAAGCUCUUUUGGCGGGGACGAUGAUGACGGUACCGCAGAAUAAGCCCGGCUAACUUCGUGCCAGCAGCCGC